rnacentral:rRNA from 1 species
UACAGAGGUCCCAAGCGUUGUUCGGAUUCGCUGGGCGUAAAGGGUGCGUAGGUGGUCGGGUAAGUCUGAUGUGAAAUCUCCGAGCUUAACUCGGAAAUGGCAUUGGAUACUAUUUGACUGGAGGGUUGGAGGGGGGACUGGAAUUCUCGGUGUAGCAGUGAAAUGCGUAGAUAUCGAGAGGAACACCAGUGGCGAAGGCGAGUCCCUGGACAACUCCUGACACUGAGGCACGAAAGCUAGGGGAGCAAACAGG